AGAGUUUGAUCCUGGCUCAGAGCGAACGUUGGAGGGAUGUUUUAAGCAUGCAAGUCGAGCGGUAACAGAGGAGCUUGCUCCUGCUGACGAGCGGCGAACUGGUGAGUAACGCGUAGAUAUCUACCUUAUAGACUGAGAUAGCCAUUGGAAACAAUGAUUAAUACCGGAUAUAGCCGAAAGGUGAAAGGCGCGAUUUGCGUCACUGUGAGAUGAGUCUGCGACCCAUUAGCUAGAUGGCGGGGUAAAAGCCCACCAUGGCGACGAUGGGUAGCCGGCCUGAGAGGGUGAACGGCCACAUCGGGACUGAGAUACGGCCCGGACUCCUACGGGAGGCAGCAGCUAAGAAUAUUCCGCAAUGGACGAAAGUCUGACGGAGCAAUCCCUCGUGAGCGAUGAAGGCCUUCGGGUUGUAAAGCUCUUUCGUCAGGGAAGAAUAAGUGGUGUAGGAAAUGACAUCAUGAUGACUGUACCUGGAGAAGAAGCACCGACUAAAUACGUGCCAGCAGUCGCGGUAAUACGUAUGGUGCAAACGUUGCUCGGAAUUACUGGGCGUAAAGGGUGCGCAGGCGGCUAGAUAAGUUAGUGGUGAAAACCUGGUGCUCAACACCAGGCCUGCCAAUAAUACUGUUUAGCUAGAGUCGAAAUAGAGGCAAUGGGAAUUCCUAGUGUAGGAGUGAAAUCUGUAGAUAUUAGGAGGAACACCAAUGGCGAAGGCAAAUUGCUGGGUAUCGACUGACGCUAAUGCACGAAAGCUAGGGGAGCGAACGGGAUUAGAGACCCCGGUAGUCCUAGCCGUAAACUAUGUUCACUAGAUUUAUGGUAUUUCCAAAUACUGUGGAUCAAAGCUAACGCGUUAAGUGAACCGCCUGGGGAGUAUGCGCGCAAGCGUGAAACUCAAAGGAAUUGACGGGGGCUCGCACAAGCGGUGGAGCAUGUGGUUUAAUUCGAUGAUAAGCGAAGAACCUUACCUGGGCUUGAACUUAUAUUGACAGCUGAUGAAAGUCAGUUUUCCUUCGGGACAAUAUGAGAGGUGCUGCAUGGCUGUCGUCAGCUCGUGUCGUGAGAUGUUGGGUUAAGUCCCGCAACGAGCGCAACCCUUGUCCUAUGUUGCUAACCAUUUUAAUGGAGCACUCUUAGGAGACUGCCGAGGUUAACUCGGAGGAAGGCGAGGAUGACGUCAAGUCCUCAUGGCCCUUAUGUCCAGGGCUACACACGUGCUACAAUGGGGUGAACAAAGAGAUGCUAAGUCGCGAGGCCACGCAAACCUCAAAAAACACCUCUCAGUUCGGAUCGUAGUCUGCAACUCGACUACGUGAAGCUGGAAUCGCUAGUAAUCGUGGAUCAGCAUGCCACGGUGAAUACGUUCUCGAGCCUUGUACACACCGCCCGUCACACCACCCGAGUUGAUUCUACCUGAAGUCGAUACAACACAGUAACGCCGAGGGUAGGGUUGAUAAGGAGGGUGAAGUCGUAACAAGGCG
rnacentral:rRNA from 1 species